rnacentral:tRNA from 1 species
GGUGGCUCAGUGGUAGAGCACUUGUCUUGCAUGCAUGAGGCCCUGGUUCGAUAUCCCAGCACCA